ensembl:lncRNA
AUUGGUCCAUACUGGUUUCUACUGGUCCUUACUGGUCCAUACUGGUCUAUACUGGUCCAUACUGGUCCAUACUGGUCUAUACUGGUCUAUACUGGUGUUUGAUAGGGGUGCAACAAUGGGCUCUCCUGGGAUCUUCUAUUGGUUCCUAUGGCUCUCUAUGGACCCCUAUGGGUCCCUAUUGGUCUAUACUGGUUUCUACUGGUCCAUACUGGUCUAUACUGGUCCAUACUGGUCCAUACUGGUCCAUACUGGUCUAUACUGGGGUGCAACAAUGGGUUCUCCUGGGAUCUUCUAUUGGUUCCUAUGGGCCUCUAUUGACCACUAUGGGUCCGUUGUGGCCCUUACUGUUCUAUACUGGUCCAUACUGGUCCAUACUGGUCUAUACUGGUCUAUACUGGUCCAUACUGGUCUAUACUGGUCCAUACUGGUCCAUACUGGUGUUGGAAUGGGUUGGACAAUGGGCUCUCCUGGGAUCUUCUAUUGGUUCCUAUGGGUCUCUAUUGACCUCUAUGGGUCUGUUGUGGCCCAUACUGUUCUAUACUGGUCCAUACUGGUCCAUACUGGUCUAUACAGGUCCUUACUGGUCCAUACUGGUCUAUACUGGUCCAUACUGGUCCAUACUGGUCUAUACUGGUCUAUACUGGUGUUUGAUAGGGGUGCAACAAUGGGCUCUCCUGGCAUCUUCUAUUGCUUCCUAUGGCUCUCUAUGGACCUCUAUGGGUCCCUAUUGGUCUAUACUGGUUUCUACUGGUCCAUACUGGUUCAUACUGGUCUAUACUGGUCCAUACUGGUCCAUACUGGUCCAUACUGGUGUGGGAAGGGGUUGGACAAUGGGUUCUCCUGGGAUCUUCUAUUGGUUCCUAUGGGUCUCUAUUCACCUCUAUGGGUCCGUAGCGGCCCAUACUGGUCCCU